GACGAACGCUGGCGGCGUGCUUAACACAUGCAAGUCGAACGAAGUGGCGAACGGGUGAGUAACGCGUAAUCAACCUGCCCUUCAGAGGGGGACAACAGUUGGAAACGACCGCUAAUACCGCAUACUGAAGGAGGGGCUUGCGUCUGAUUAGCUAGUUGGAGGGGUAACGGCCAACCAAGGCGAUGAUCAGUAGCCGGUCUGGGAGAAUGACCGGACACAUUGGGACUGGGACACGGCCCAGACUCCUACGGGAGGCAGCGGUGGGGAAUCUUCCGGAAUGGACGAAAGUCUGACGAAGCAACGCCGCGUGAGUGAUGACGGCCUUCGGGUUGUAAAGCUCUGUUAAUCGGGACGCGGUACCGGAAUAGAAAGCCACGGCUGACUACGUGCCAGCAGCCGCGGUAAUAC
rnacentral:rRNA from 1 species